GAUGAAGAACGCAGCGAAAUGCGAUAAGUAAUGUGAAUUGCAGAAUUCAGUGAAUCAUCGAAUCUUUGAACGCACCUUGCGCUCUUUGGUAUUCCGAAGAGCAUGCCUGUUUGAGUGUCAUGAAAAUAUCAACCUUGACUUGGGUUUUGUGCUCUAGUCUCGGCUUGGAAUUGGGUGCUUGCCGCUUUUACGAGCGGCUCACCUUAAAUGUAUUAGCUGGAUCUGUCUUUGAGACUUGGUUUGACUUGGCGUAAUAAGUAUUUCGCUAAGGACAUUCUUCGGAGUGGCCUCGUUUCUAGGACGCUUGUCCGCUUUCCAAUACAAGUUCCACCUCGUGGACAUGACUUUUUAUUAUCUGGCCUCAAAUCAGGUAGGACUACCCGCUGAACUUAAGCAUAUCAAUACGCGGAGGA
rnacentral:misc_RNA from 1 species